AUGGUAUCUGGAGACAGUGUGACUCCUGACAAGGAGGAGUACACCCCCACUGAGGGAUCAUCAGUGACUCUGAACUGUACAUAUGAAACAAGCAGCAGUAACAUCUACCUUUACUGGUACCAACAAUACCCUAACCAGGCUCCUCAGUUUCUACUGUAUAAAGGUGCUAGAUCACAGAGCGGUAGUGAACAUACAAGAUAUACAUCCAAAAUGUCUCGGACAUCAACUGAACUGGUCGUAACAAGCGUAACCCUGGCAGACACAGCUCUCUACUACUGUGCUCUCAGGGAAAAUACACAGUGA